rnacentral:rRNA from 1 species
GUUGUAUGGUUAAGUAAUUAAGCGUACACGGUGGAUGCCUUGGCAGUCAGAGGCGAUGAAGGACGUACUAACUUGCGUUAAGCCCAGAUUAGGCAGUAA